AAAGAGGUGGCCAAGUGGUUAAGGUGAUGGACUGCUAAUCUGUUGUGCUCUGCAUGCAUGGGUCUGAAUCCCAUCCUGGUUG
rnacentral:tRNA from 1 species